GGCAAUGGCCAUAUGGCCCUGAAAGCACCUGAUCUCAUCUGAUCUCAGAAGCUAAGCAGGGUCGGGCCUGGUUAGUACUUGGAUGGGAGAACUCCUGGGAAUGCCAGGUGCUGUAGGCU
ensembl:rRNA 5S_rRNA 5S ribosomal RNA